rnacentral:lncRNA from 1 species
GGGACACAUGGAAUACCAGGUGGAUGCGGGAUGUGGAACGGUGCUUGAGUUGAUAGGCGACCUGAUUGAUUUUUUCCUCAAUCUGAUAUAGGCCAAAGAAAUGACAUGCAUGUUUCUGCAGUGCUCAUUUGAAAACAGUUUGCUGCCUAUAUGGUUGUAACCGGAGAAAGACCCACUCGCCUUCUUGGAACUCUAUAUGACGCCUAGAGGUAUUUGCGGUUUAUUGCAUCUUGUUAUUGGCUGUGUGUAAGUUAGCUUUUAGUUGAUUGAGUAGGUUGUUUCUAGUUGUAAGCUGCUGAUGAACUUCGUUUAUUAUCAUUGUUCCUUCAAUGUAGUGUGGCAUAGUGGGUUGGGGUCAUCCAUAUAAAGCUUGAAAGGGAGUCAUACUGAUUGAGGAGUGGUAAGUAGUGUUGUACCAGAAUUCUGCCCAUGGUAGAAAGAGCUUGACUAUGCCUUCCACAAACUUUUCGGCAACUACCUUGGCGGUAUAGGGAUGUACGAGAGCCAAAAAAUGAGCAAACUUACUGAGACGAUCUAUGACUACCAAUAUCAUAUUUUUACCCUGAGAUGGUGGCAACCCUUUGAUGAAAUCCAUUGUUAUGUCCUCCCAAACAUGGUAUGGGAUAGGGAGCGGUUAUAGCAAUCCUAUUGGUGAUAAUGUUUUUGACUCAACUCGUUGGCACACAUCACAAGCAGAUACACAUUCUUGAAUAUAUUGGCACAUGGCGGGCCAAAAGAACUGUUGAACCAAUCGCUUAUAAGUGCAGAGUACCCCUGAGUGGCCUCCCAUUUGGGAAUUGUGGUAGGCUUGUAAUAAUUGUUGAACAAUGUUAGAUUUAGGUGGAAUGACAAUUUGCUGUUUGUAGUAUACUAAAUCAUUUUUCUCGAUAUAUGGACACCCUGGGUGAUAUCGCGCAA